GUGGCGAAAGCGGCUCUCUGNUCUGUCACUGACGCUGAGGCUCGAAAGCGUGGGUAGCGAACAGGAUUAGAUACCCUGGUAGUNCACGCCGUAAACGCUGAGUGCUAGGUGUUAGGUCCUUUCCGGGACUUAGUGCCGACGCUAACGCAUUAAGCACUCCGCCUGGGGAGUACGACCGCAAGGUUGAAACUCAAAGGAAUUGACGGGGGCCCGCACAAGCGGUGGAGCAUGUGGUUUAAUUCGAAGCAACGCGAAGAACCUUACCAGGUCUUGACAUCCCGAUGCCCGCUCUAGAGAUAGAGUUUUACUUUUUGUACAUCGGAGACAGGUGGUGCAUGGUUGUCGUCAGCUCGUGUCGUGAGAUGUUGGGUUAANNNNNNCAACGAGCGCAACCCUUAUUGUUAGUUGCCAUCAUUAAGUUGGGCACUCUAGCGAGACUGCCGGUAAUAAACCGGAGGAAGGUGGGGAUGACGUCAAAUCAUCAUGCCCCUUAUGACCUGGGCUACACACGUGCUACAAUGGUUGGUACAACGAGUCGCAAGCCGGUGACGGCAAGCUAAUCUCUGAAAGCCAAUCUCAGUUCGGAUUGUAGGCUGCAACUCGCCUACAUGAAGUCGGAAUCGCUAGUAAUCGCGGAUCAGCACGCCGCGGUGAAUACGUUCCCGGGCCUUG
rnacentral:rRNA from 1 species